ensembl:misc_RNA 7SK 7SK RNA
UGUUGUGCACCUGUAGUGCUUUUCAGAAAAUGUCUCUCUGAAACUGCACACUCAAUGGAAGAGGACAACCUUCCCCAAUAGAGGAGGACUGUUCCUCAGUUGAGGGUAUAUGGAGUAGCUGUGCUUCCCUGGUAGAAUCUCCACAAAAGCUCUCAGGGAAAGAUGAGGUAGAAGGACCACUUUAGCCCAGGAUGGACAACAAAGCAUGAUUCCAUUUAAAUAAAUAUAGGGAUAGUA